ACAGGCGAGAACCCACCGCGGCACCUCGGCGACGGAACAGACGGAUGAAAGGUUAAAUGAAGUCUCGCGGAAGAGACUUAAGCCGGAGUGCCCACCUUUGGUGUAGAAUCCUUCUAAGAAACUGGAGGCGGCAAGCUUUGCCCUGUGGACACGAGGCCGCCAUACCGCCAGCUGACGAUCGUUCACUAGACGUUCACAACUAAGACGCGCUGUUAGGAGGAUCUUCUGGCCUCGCAGACGCCAGCGGCCCCUGGUCCCCUGCCUCUGGCGCUGCCUGCCGCCAGGACGGGCUGAUACCGAGCUGCACUCGGGGUCCUUUCUCCUCCCGCUCAGCCUGUGGUAGGCGGUCAGCUCCGCUGCACGGACAGAGAAGCACCUCGGUCCCCAUGGGUCCCCCUGGUCGCGCCGUGGCGCCCUGGGGUGUAAGGAGCUCCGAGCCACCCGCCUCAAGCACCCGCCUGCCGGGAGACCAGUCCCCGUACUGCAGGGAACUGGGGGGGACCCCAGGCCU